GGACCCGGUCUAUAGACUCUGACCUUAGCCCUCAGAAUCCCUCAUUCAGAGCUUAGGGAUCGCCAGGCCAGAAGGUGGCUGGGAAGGCACCAGGGAGAAGACAGCCUCCCGCCCCCAGUUGAGGGAGGUGGUGAAGAGAGGGGAGACUGAAAGCAGUGGGGGAGGGUGAGAGAGGGGAGCCAGCAGAGACUCAAGUGGCCUCCAGACUUCCAAGUGCUGGCCUUCAUCUCCCCGCAAGAUGCGCCCCCUCCAACUCUCAGCCUUCAUCUUCCUACUGUCACUGUCUCCUUCACAAGGAGAGCAGCAAGAGAAAGAAAGAGAGAGGCAAGCGAAAUUCCUGAAUGGAUAGACAGAUGCUACGUCAUCGGAGCUGCAUCCUCCACUCCACAAGAGGCUAGGAGCUGGGGGGAGAGAGGCAGUCCAGCCGCAGGGGCCACCCGAACAGUCUCUCCUCCUCACAGAAGCCUGGAGCUGGGCAUCCAAGAAGAAGCAGCCUCAUUUGUUUUCUGGUGUCAUCGUAGGUGGCCACCUAUGGCUUUUGGGCUUUCGGCCCCUGAUUUUGGUCUACUCCAAUUGUAGAAAGACCUACAUAGUCAAUGAUAGGCCACCCUGCUUCCAGUUCUGUGAUAGAGAGGAAAGGCAUUGGGGAUACAGGGAACUCUUUCCCCUUCUCCAAUGGGCUCCUGAGGGCAAAGUUGGAGGCCAAUUGACCUUGGGGGAGAUGAUUGGUUGGAGAAGGGAACAGAGAUACUUGUACCUGGGUGACAGAGGUGAGAAAGAAGAGGAGCAUGGGGUAUGGUAAAUGGGGACCCAAGGAGCUUAAAUAACUGUGAGUGGGUAUGUAUGCCAGGGUAUACAACUGCAAGCACUGGGAGGUGGUACUGCUGGGAGUAUCAGUGGAUUUGUCAUUGCAUUGGUCUGAGUUGAUAAGUUUGAGUAUGUGUGCAUGUGUGUGUGUGUGCGCACGCGUGUAUGUGUGUGCGUGUGUGUAUGUGUAUGUGUGUGCAUGUGUGUGUGUGCGUGUGUGUGUGUGUGAUGCGCAGCACCCUUGCAUACUCAUGCUUAUGCCCCUUAAGGAGGCCAUUUGCUGAUGGUUGAGGGUCUUGUAGAAAGGACUCAGUCUGGACGAACCAGCCAACCCUCUACCAUCUCUGCCACCUUGUUCUUACCUCCCAGACACAUAAGGUUCUCAGGCAAGUGAGCAAUGUGUGGGCUCAAGAAUAGAACUGGGAGCAGGCAAGGAAGGCAGUACUUACACAAGCCCAAGGAAUUCUCAAGCUGGCCCCUCAAUAGGAGGAACAUACCACUCUCUCGUGGGGAAGAAGUGUGACAUCCUUAGGGACGAUAUCCUCCAGAUUAUUUCUCCAUACCUCCUACCUUUUCUGCCCACAUGAAUAGAUAUUUUGUAUAUAUAUAUUUUUUUCACACAGCCUCAGUAUUUUUUAUUGCUAAUUCUUGCUUUUAUUUGUGACUAUCCCAUAGACAAUGCAGAUUUCUAUAGCAAAAAAUGUAUGAUAUUGUUCAUAAUGAUGCACUUAUAAGACAAAUAAAUAUCUGAAUCCACCCUUUCCCAAA
ensembl:lncRNA MIR9-1HG MIR9-1 host gene